AAGCGAAACGGUCCCCACGCGGGGCCGUCGUCGGAAUGUGGCGGUUCCGGCCUGAUGAGCAGCCGACA
rnacentral:hammerhead_ribozyme from 1 species